GUAGUGGAUGUCAUACUUCCAAGAAAAGCUUGCACUGUCAUAAAUAAAAGACGCCUGUACCAUAACCGACACAGGUGGGUAGGUAGAGUAUACUAAGGGGCGCGAGAUAACUCUCUCUAAGGAACUCGGCAAAAUAACUCCGUAACUUCGGGAGAAGGAGUGCCUUAUUCGUAAGGCUGCAAUAACAAGAUCCAAGCAACUGUUUAUCAAAAACACAGGUCUCCGCUAAGUCGUAAGACGAUGUAUGGGGGCUGACGCCUGCCCAGUGCCAGAAGGUUAAAGAAGUCGGUUAGCAUUAGCGAAGCUGGUAACUGAAGCCCUGGUGAACGGCGGCCGUAACAAUAACGGUCCUAAGGUAGCGAAAUUCCUUGUCGGGUAAGUUCCGACCCGCACGAAAGGCGUAAUGAUUUGGAUACUGUCUCGGAGAGGGGCUCGGUGAAAUAGACUUGUCUUGAAGAUGCGGACUACCUGCACCAGGACAGAAAGACCCUAUGAAGCUUUACUGUAACUUGAAAUUGAAAUUGGACUUUAUUCGCGCAGUAUAGGUGGGAGGUGUUGAUUAUAAUCUUGCGGGAUUAUUGGAGCCAUCAGUGAGAUACCACUCUUGUAAUGUUAGAUUUCUAACUUUGAAUCAUUAUCUGGUCAAAGAACAGUUUCAGGCGGGCAGUUUGACUGGGGCGGUCGCCUCCUAAAUGGUAACGGAGGCGUACAAAGGUUUCCUCUGAACGGGUAGAAAUCGUAUCUAGAGUGUAAAGGCAUAAGGAAGCUUGACUGUGAGACCUACAAGUCGAGCAGGGACGAAAGUCGGUCUUAGUGAACUGACGGUACUGAGUGGAAAGGCCGUCACUCAACGGAUAAAAGUUACUCUAAGGAUAACAGGCUGAUCUCCCCCAAGAGUUCACAUCGACGGGGAGGUUUGGCACCUCGAUGUCGGCUCAUCGCAUCCUGGGGCGGUAGUACGUCCCAAGGGUUGGGCUGUUCGCCCAUGAAAGCGGUACGCGAGCUGGGUUCAGAACGUCGUGAGACAGUUCGGUCCAUAUCCGGUGUAGGCGUUAGAAUAUUGAGAGGAGCCUUCUUUAGUACGAGAGGACCGAGAAGGACAUACCUCUGGUGUACCAGUUAUCGUGCCAACGGUAAACGCUGGGUAGCUAUGUAUGGAGUGGAUAACCGCUGAAAGCAUCUAAGUGGGAAGCCCACCUCAAGAUAAGUAUUCUCAUC
rnacentral:rRNA from 1 species